UUUUUUUUUUUUUUUUUUUGUGAUCUUCUCUUCUAGUCAAAUAAAUUAAAAUUCAAGUGGAAAAACAAGGGGUCUAAAAUACUUUCUCAUGCUCUUCUUUUUGAAAGAAAAUACCCUUCUUUCCAUUCUCCAAAGUCCAAAGAGCAGAAAUUUUUUUUUUUGGCUGAUUUUCAAUUUUACAACCAAACUGUAGAAAAUAAAAUAUUCUUUGAGAAAAUGUUAUCAAAAUAAUAUUUUCCGUGGGCAUUGUUUUACAGAAAACAAAUGCUGACUAAUUGAUAUUCCUUUGUAUUGAAAUGGAGCUCAAUGAAAAGGUGCCCAGCAUGAAUAGUUUAAGGGGCUGAUUCUUUUCUGGUUUAAAUCAUCAUGGCCUGAGUUUUUUU
rnacentral:misc_RNA from 1 species